CCUACGGGUGGCUGCAGUGAGGAAUAUUGGUCAAUGGGCGAGAGCCUGAACCAGCCAAGUCGCGUGAGGGAGUACUGCCCUAUGGGUUGUAAACCUCUUUUGUCGGGGAGCAAAAUCCGGCCGUUUCCUGCUGUUAGAGUACCCGCAGCAAAAGCAUCGGCUAACUCCGUUCCAGCAGCCGCGGUAAUACGGAGGAUCCGAGCGUUAUCCGGAUUUUUUGGGUUUAAAGGGGGCGUAGAUGGGUUGUUAAGUCAGUUGUGAAAGUUUGCGGCUCAACCGUAAAAUUGCAAUUGAUACUGGCAGUCUGGAGUACAGUUGAGGUAGGCGGAAUUCGUGGUGUAGCGGUGAAAUGCUUAGAUAUCACGAAGAACUCCGAUUGCGAAGGCAGCUUACUAAACUGCAACUGACAUUGAUGCUCGAAAGUGUGGGUAUCAAACAGGAUUAGAUACCCUGGUAGUC
rnacentral:rRNA from 1 species